GCGCGCGCAGGCGCUUUCUUGAAGUCUGAUGUGAAAGCCCACGGCUCAACCGUGGAGGGUCAUUGGAAACUGGGGAACUUGAGUGCAUAAGAAAAAAGCGGAAUUCCACGUGUAGCGGUGAAAGGCGUAGAGAGGUGGAGGAACACCAUUGGCGAAGGCGGCUUUUUGGUCUGUAACUGACGCUGAGGCGCGAAAGCGUGGGGAGCAAACAGGAUUAGAUACCCGGGUAGUCCACGCCGUAAACGAUGAGUGCUAAGUGUUAGAGGGUUUCCGCCCGUUGGGGACUGCAGCUAACUCAAUACGCCCUCCGCCUGGGGGAGCACGGUCGCAAGACUGAAACUCA
rnacentral:rRNA from 1 species